CAAUUGGAAAGAGGAGUGGCGGACGGGUGAGUAACACGUGGGUAACCUACCCAUCAGAGGGGGAUAACACUUGGAAACAGGUGCUAAUACCGCAUAACAGUUUAUGCCGCAUGGCAUAAGAGUGAAAGGCGCUUUCGGGUGUCGCUGAUGGAUGGACCCGCGGUGCAUUAGCUAGUUGGUGAGGUAACGGCUCACCAAGGCCACGAUGCAUAGCCGACCUGAGAGGGUGAUCGGCCACACUGGGACUGAGACACGGCCCAGACUCCUACGGGAGGCAGCAGUAGGGAAUCUUCGGCAAUGGACGAAAGUCUGACCGAGCAACGCCGCGUGAGUGAAGAAGGUUUUCGGAUCGUAAAACUCUGUUGUUAGAGAAGAACAAGGACGUUAGUAACUGAACGUCCCCUGACGGUAUCUAACCAGAAAGCCACGGCUAACUACGUGCCAGCAGCCGCGGUAAUACGUAGGUGGCAAGCGUUGUCCGGAUUUAUUGGGCGUAAAGCGAGCGCAGGCGGUUUCUUAAGUCUGAUGUGAAAGCCCCCGGCUCAACCGGGGAGGGUCAUUGGAAACUGGGAGACUUGAGUGCAGAAGAGGAGAGUGGAAUUCCAUGUGUAGCGGUGAAAUGCGUAGAUAUAUGGAGGAACACCAGUGGCGAAGGCGGCUCUCUGGUCUGUAACUGACGCUGAGGCUCGAAAGCGUGNGGAGCAAACAGGAUUAGAUACCCUGGUAGUCCACGCCGUAAACGAUGAGUGCUAAGUGUUGGAGGGUUUCCGCCCUUCAGUGCUGCAGCAAACGCAUUAAGCACUCCGCCUGGGGAGUACGACCGCAAGGUUGAAACUCAAAGGAAUUGACGGGGGCCCGCACAAGCGGUGGAGCAUGUGGUUUAAUUCGAAGCAACGCGAAGAACCUUACCAGGUCUUGACAUCCUUUGACCACUCUAGAGAUAGAGCUUUCCCUUCGGGG
rnacentral:rRNA from 1 species